rnacentral:tRNA from 1 species
GCUGAUUUAGCUCAGUGGUAGAGCGCCGACUUGGUAUGUCGGAGGCCCCGGGUUCGAUCCCCGGAUUCAGCU